UGUUUGGGAAAUGCCCACUUAGGCAGGAACACCUUUUGGCCGGCAGAGCUCCCCAGAAACGGGGCCUGGUUCCGUUCUCAGCCACCUAAGAGGUAAAUCAGAAAUAAGACUGAGAGCGCCAACGCGUUAGUGCCUGAAUUCUCCAGUCGGCGUCGGCGUCGGAGCCGGCCUGCCUGGCGGCUGGUGGGAGGUGGAGCCCUGGCCACGCUUCUGCCUCCAUCACUGGAGCCUCUGAUUCCGGAUCCCCGGGCCCGAACUCUCCUAAGACUUUGGGGGAUAGGAUCACCUCCACGCGCGGGCAGAGGUUUGGGCUGCGGCAGAUGGCUGCAAUCUGGGGUCCCACGGCCCCUUUCGGGUCCCCCCUUACUUGUCCGGACCAAGGCUGCCGUGAAGCGUGGCCGCUGGCUGGGGUCUUCCUUCCGACUCCUUUGCUGCUGGGUGCGGUCGUGUGACCAGGACCCGGGCCCCUUCCCACAGCCGGGCAGGAACAGGCCUGCGACCCGGCCCAGCCCGUGCCGGAGCUCGACGCCGUCGGGGAGGGCAGAGAAGGGGGACACCCGCCCCCAAAUGUGUCGGCGGAAGGCUCACCUCCCCACCCCGUGUCACCGCAGGAGAGAGACAGGGAGGGACGCGUCUCCAGGGCACCGACUGCUGGGCCCUUGGCAGCCCGGCCCCCCAGAGCUCAUGAGCAGGAGGGCAGGAGCCCCGGCCAGGGCCUAGUGGCUUCCAGAGCCUGACACGUGCCCGAAGGACGGAAGUACUGCGCCCACCUCCAUGACCUCCUCUGAGCCGAGAGGCGACCUGGAGACACUCAGGUCCAGGACCUGGCUGGGGCCCGCUGGGCCCGCCCCAGGGCAGUGUGGCCUGGCGCUCCCUGCAGCCACCGCUGCCACCUGUGCAGCGGCCGCAGGACCCCGCUGGACCCAGCCCUACCCGGAAUUCCUGACCUGAGAGGCCGGAAGAUGGGCGGGUUUUCACUCUUCCUAGUCAGGCAGUUACGCAGACGCAAGUUCCCGGUGUCCCCAGAGGCAGGUACCCGUCCUAAAUUCCGAGAAGACUGCGGUGCCUCCCCCUCGGUCCCGUUGGCCGGGGACAGCUGCGCCGGGCUCGCGGGCCGUGCUCGGGGAGGGACGGGCCGCACGCUGCCCUGCCCGGGGGCCGCAGCCCUGGCGCUCCGAGGUGCCGCCUGUUAGGAGACACCAGCCCGGCUCCGGGCGCAGGGAGAGCGGGGGCUCCUUACUCUGCUCCGGUGCUGCACCCCGUAACCCGGAGUCCCACGAGGAGGGAGCCGCUGCCCCCCUUCUCCUGAACCGGCUGUCGCCGAUGGAAGGCAUCUGUCCGGGUUUCCGCACACCUGCCCACCUCCGGGGGGGCUUGCCUCACCUGGCCCAGGUUUCACUGGCCCCCAAGCCCAGGCCACCGUCGCCUCGCUUCAUUUGGGCUUCUCUUACCGCGUCAACAACAUGCUUUUCCUCCUGUUUCCUCCUGUUCCCCAUCACGCGUGGGCCAGGCCACCGUAUCUGCUGGAGGAGCCGAGGGCUCUGCUGACCUUUGUUCACAGUGAUUGCCUCGGUUUUGGCGAAGUGAAUUAAAGGAAGAUGAGAUCAGGAGACAGGAAAUCGUUUGCAGCUGGAUGCAGCUUAGGGAUGAGAUGAGUGAUGAAAGGCCCAAAAGUCCAAGGUAAAUCACAUUCUAAUCCUGAUUUCCUUUAUGGGAAGUGAAAAUAUCAGAGAGUUCUAGACCACUCCCGACCACUAUGAUGUCCUUUAGUAAUGACCUCACAACAGCCUUCCGGGGGGGCGGGUAUCCCCCUUUCACAGCUAAGCAAGCUGAGGCACAGAGGGGCUGGGACCUGCCCAAGCUUUCUCGCUCUGCCCAUCUCCUGGCCCACACCCCCCAAACAGCCCCAACUUCCCACACUAAGAGAGCAUUAGAGUGGAGAGCCAUUGCCGAAGGUGCAGGUGCUCUUGUUCGCAGGGGCAGCCAUGCAUUCUUCAUGGACCGUUGCCGUCAGAGCCACUUCGUCCUUCCCGCUGAGUGUCAGAGGUCGGAGAGCCAUUUUCUGUGAAGAAAUCCCUUUCCACGGUAAGGCUUCUCCAAGGUAAUGGAUAGGAGUGGAGGUGGAAAGUCGCAAAGCAGAUCAGCUGCUCGGGAAAUUGCUCUGUGUAUAAACAAUUCUGUAACCCCAAGGAAGUCAAAACUGGACCCGCGGGUGGGAAAAAAGUUAUGCACGGAGGUUUAAGGGGUGGAGGUGAGAAUAAGUCUCCUGGGUCAGUGUCUUCUCCACUCUGACCACCAAAAGCUUGUUUAUAUUCGAGACUGUCAGAGGGGCUGGGAUAUUCAGAGAAUGUGACUUCACUAAGAAACCUAAGGCCACCCAAUUUGGAGACCCAAGCUGAUCCAACUACACUUAACACAAAAUGCAGUCAAGUGAUGGAGUAAAGGCAAAACAGAAUGAAAACUCGGUGAGGACCCCUGAUGCCCUACUAUGCUUUCCUGUGAAUAUCACCAGUAAAAUGGGGACACCUUGCACCCCCGUCGGGGUAGGCAGGAUUCUAAGUGCUGUGAGGUUUUUCAUAUCCAAACCGAGCUAGUCCCUCUGAAACCUUGCGUGUCACAUAUAAGACACAUACUCUAGGUUUUAAGAAGUUAGAGAAGUACAAAGGUAUAAUUUGUGCCUGUGUCUGCAAGACCCUUGUCAGAUUUAGGGGAGCACCUGCUUGAUCAAGACCAGGGGGUAAAAAACACCAAAAUGUUUGGUUUGCCUAUAAUCAAUAUCAACUGUCAUUUCCCCCAGUGAUGAGUUUGUUCAGUGAGGGCUCUGGGAAGUGUGAUAUGGUUACCUCCUUUCUUGGGGGUUGCCCAUCUAGGGGACAAAGGCAAGAGCUUCAAAACCAUCACCUUUGAGUCUUAAGUGACAGAAUGGAACAGCUUUCCUGUUUCAGAUUUUGGUUUUGAAGUAGUAUGUAUUAAAACCAAAAUUUAAAACCCAAUACACAAAAAUAUGUGUUUAAGAGAUGAGCAUUUACUUCCUAAAGUGUUUACCACCAUCUUUCUUUAUAUCUUACAGAAAACACAUGUAUUUUUUGAAUCCGUGGAAAAUUUGCAAAAAUCAGUUAUAUAUUCUUCCAAAAAA
rnacentral:lncRNA from 1 species